rnacentral:rRNA from 1 species
GUGGGGAAUUUUGGACAAUGGGCGCAAGCCUGAUCCAGCAAUGCCGCGUGAGUGAAGAAGGCCUUCGGGUUGUAAAGCUCUUUCAGUUGAGAAGAAAAGAUUGUGACUAAUAAUUGCAAUUCAUGACGGUAUCAACAGAAGAAGCACCGGCUAACUACGUGCCAGCAGCCGCGGUAAUACGUAGGGUGCGAGCGUUAAUCGGAAUUACUGGGCGUAAAGGGUGCGCAGGCGGUUCUGUAAGUCAGAUGUGAAAUCCCCGGGCUUAACCUGGGAACUGCGUUUGAAACUACAGAGCUAGAGUGUGGCAGAGGGGGGUGGAAUUCCAUGUGUAGCAGUGAAAUGCGUAGAGAUAUGGAAGAACAUCGAUGGCGAAGGCAGCCCCCUGGGUCAACACUGACGCUCAUGCACGAAAGCGUGGGGAGCAAACAGGAUUAGAAACCCCAGUAGUCC